UACGUAGGGUGCGAGCGUUAAUCGGAAUUACUGGGCGUAAAGUGUGCGCAGGCGGCCGCGCAAGUCGAGUGUGAAAUCCCCGAGCUUAACUUGGGAAUUGCGCUCGAAACUACGUGGCUGGAGUGUGGCAGAGGAAGGUGGAAUUCCACGUGUAGCGGUGGAAUGCGUAGAUAUGUGGAGGAACACCGAUGGCGAAGGCAGCCUUCUGGGCCAACACUGACGCUCAUGCACGAAAGCGUGGGGAGCAAACAGG
rnacentral:rRNA from 1 species